rnacentral:rRNA from 1 species
UACGUAGGGACCAAGCGUUGUCCGGAAUCAUUGGGCGUAAAGAGCGCGUAGGCGGCUUGUUAAGUCUUGCGUGAAAUCUCGGGGCUCAACCCCGAGCGGUCGUGAGAAACUGGCAGGCUAGAGUGCGGGAGAGGAGAGUGGAAUUCCUGGUGUAGCGGUGAAAUGCGCAGAUAUCAGGAAGAACACCCGUGGCGAAGGCGGCUCACUGGACCGGAACUGACGCUGAGGCGCGAAAGCGUGGGGAGCAAUCGGG